GACGAACGCUGGCGGCGUGCUUAACACAUGCAAGUCGAACGGAAAGGCCCUGCUUUUGUGGGGUGCUCGAGUGGCGAACGGGUGAGUAACACGUGAGUAACCUGCCCUUGACUUUGGGAUAACUUCAGGCAACUGGGGCUAAUACCGGAUAGGAGCUCCUGCUGCAUGGUGGGGGUUGGAAAGUUUCGGCGGUUGGGGGUGGACUCUCGGCUUAUCAGCUUGUUGGUGGGGUAGUGGCUUACCAAGGCUUGGACGGGUAGCCGGCCUGAGAGGGUGACCGGCCUCGUUGGGACCGUGAUGCGGGCCAGUCUCAUGCGGGCGGCACUGGUGGGGAUGAUUAGUUGAUGGACGGGAUCCUAAUGGAGCAACGGCCCGUGGGGGAUGACGGCCUUCGGAUUGUAAACCGCUUUGGCCUUUGACGACGCGUGAGUAACGGUAAUGGGUAAGGAAGAGCCGGCUAACUACGUG
rnacentral:rRNA from 1 species